GAUGAAGAACGCAGCGAAAUGCGAUACGUAAUGUGAAUUGCAGAAUUCAGUGAAUCAUCGAAUCUUUGAACGCAUAUUGCGCUCUCUGGUAUUCCGGAGAGCAUGCUUGUUUGAGUAUCAGUAAACACCUCAACUCCCUUUCUUCUUGAAAUGGAGCUGGACUUGAGUGAUCCCAACGCUUUAUUCAUAAAGUGGCGGGUUACUUGAAAUGCAGGUGCAGGUGGACUUUUCUCUGAGCUAUAAGCAUAUCUAUUUAGUCUGCCUCAAAACAGAUUAUUUCCUUUGCUGCAGCUAACAUAAAGGAGAUUAGUUCUUGUGCUGACUGAUGCAGGAUUCAAAAAGACCGCUUCGGCUGUCUUUGUAAACUCGAUAUCAAAUCAAGUAAGACUACCCGCUGAACUUAAGCAUAUCAAUAAGCGGAGGA
rnacentral:misc_RNA from 1 species